CCAUUGCUGUACCCAGGCCUGCCAAGAAUGUGCACAGUAUUUCAACAUCCCAGAAUGCUCUGGGAUGAGAAGCAGGAGGAGAGCAUAGAUAAUGUACUGGAGAACACAGCUGGCUAUGGAGCUGAGCUGAUGUGGGCUGUAUAGGACAGUGCUGGCCGGCAGCGAGUUGAUCUGACAGAGAAGUAUUCCUUAAGUCCCUAUUAUUUCCACCAUGAAACAUCCCCAAUGGAGCAGAGAGUGUGUCUCUGGUACAUCUGAAGUGCAGUCUUGCCUCAAAUCAUCGGCUCACUAUGACCCACCAGCAUGCGCUCUACCUGCCACUGAGAAGCACGGGAAGAGACAGAACUUGAAACGUGCCAACACCCACCCCCUCACUAUGUUAAUUUGUGGACAUUCAACACCAAAUCCCAAAGCAGGUGGGAUACUUUAGUUUUGCUGGACCCCUCGGCAUUGAAAAUCCAGAGAUCCAGAGCCGAGGAGAAAGUGGGAUUCACUGCUUAUCGCAUAGUGAAACCCAGAACCAGUAAAUAAGUCAUAAAUAAGUUAAACAAUAAAGCAGGGAGGCAAAGGUUGAAGUGCAGCAAGUGGGAGUCUGCCUCAGACAGGCGAUGUUCUUUCCUUACUGGAGCAGCGACUGCACGACCAGGCUUCAGUGACAACACAGAAAGAAAAAGUGGUGGAUCAGAUUUGCUCCAAGACGUGGGCUUCUUUCUGCUUCUCACAUGGCUCUUGCGGAUCAGUCCCCUGCUGUAGUGCUCUUUCUGCUGCUGCCUCUAACACAAGUUCUGGCACAGGGCACCGGAGAAUGUUCUGUAGGAAAUGACAAGCCAACAAUAAAUGAAAACAAUCUGCCUGAAGUGGUUGUUACCACCAUUACAAUGAAUCCUGGUGUCACAGUAACAAUUGAAACCUCAGAGGAUUCCCAUUGGUUUAAAAUUCUUGGCACAGACUUGAUUCUAACUGAUUCCUUGGAUUAUGAGAAAGAAACGGUAUUACUAGUAACCCUGCUUUGCCAGAGAGAUGGUGUGACAGUCAAUUCUGUGAAUGUAAUAAUGACCGUUGGAAAUUUGAAUGACAACAGCCCGGAAUUUAAGGAGACAAAUAUCACUGAAAGUGUUCCUGAGGAUGCAAAAGUGAAUACGACCAUUAUAGCCAUGAAUCGUGUGACUGCUAGUGAUGCUGACCUUGAUGUCAUAUAUUAUGAACUUGUGGCGAUCACCCCGGCGGAAGCAACCGAUUACUUCAACAUACAAGGAGUUAAUAACCCAACUAUUUACCUGCGCAAAAGCCUGGACUAUGAUCAAUAUAAAUUUAUGCAGUUACUCUUGUAUGCAAAGGACAGUGCACCCGGCAACCCAGAUAGCCAUGUAGCCAAUGCAACCAUAAACAUAGACAUCCAGCAAGUCGACACCCGACCUCCCUGGUUCCAGCCAUGCACUUUCAUUAAUGUGGACAAGAAAGUUUGCAUCAGCAGUGGCUACAUUGGGAGGGUCAACAUCUCCGAGAAAACGACUGACCCACUGACCCUGAAACCCGGGCCCCUCUACGCCAUUGAUCCUGACUACACUUUGAAUGAAAAAAUAGUGUACAGCAUUGUUGGUGGAAACAAGGAUGAUAUAUUCUUACUGAAUAGCGAUACAGGGAAUAUAACUAUGAACAAAGCAGCAAAUACUUCAGAUACAUUCAUUUUACAGAUCAUGGCCACCCAAGCCAACAACGUACAGAAAUACUCCUUAACCACAGUUGAGAUCAAGGUCAUCAUUAAAAGUAGCUUCGCACCGCUCUUUGUAAGCCCCAGCUACACAGGGACGGUAUCUGCUGGGCUGGCCACACACAGUCUGGUCAUGGAGCCUGGAGCACCUUCCAAACCUCUGAAGAUCUUUGCGGCUGAUGACGACUUCCCUAAUAAAGUCAAUCCUCAAAUCGUAUACAACAUUAAAAACAGCAGCGAUUUCACCGUAACCAGAGACGGACUUGUCCUGACGAACACAAUGCUGCCGUCAGCUACAACUAUCACAAUGUUGGCUACUGCUAUGGAUGAGGAGAGCCUGCAGGAGGCAAAUACUAUGAUUACUGUGGAGGUCACGCCUUCCAGAGGUACAACUCCUCCUCCUAUACCUACCACCAUCACCACCACCUCUGCUGUUGCUGCUGGGACAGGAACCACCACUCCAAAACCUUCAGGUUCAUCGUUAGCCUCGUCCCCUGGAGCAAUUAACACAGCCUCUACAGCCAGCUCAGGACCCACAAAGUCCCCUUCUUCAGUGAACAUGACAACCAAUAAUGCUGGCAUCUCUGGGACCACUGGAAAGCCUGUGACAGGUACUCCCUCGGGCUCACUUAUCCCUCCUCUUGUAACCACAACGAAGCCUGUGACCACAAGGACUUCUACCGCCGCAGUAUCCAGCAUGCAUCCAGUGGGGCCUUCAGAAUCUGGAACCACCAAGUCCCCCAUAACAGGAACAAACCCAGCACCAGGUGAAACGGUUCAAUCCACUACUCUGCCAUCUUCCCCGUCUGUUGGGCCCAGCCCUCUUCUUACGUCAACUCCAGUAGCAAGCAGAUCUCCGAGGCCAUCAGACCCUGUGUCUUCUCAAAUAUCCUCCACAAACACUCAGACAGACGUACGUACAGAAUAUUUGUAUACUUCAGGGCACAUGGCCGCUUUAGGUGUCCCAUUGGCUGUAUUGCUGGCAAUGUGCUUACUGCUGCUUGGAAUUAUUAUCUACAAGAAUUAUGGAACCACAAUUAAGAGCAUGGUUGGAAGAAACAAGCCAUUCCCCAAGGAUUCCUUUCGGGGUGUAAGUAACAACGGCUACCUAAGGGAUGAAAAUCUCAAUGGGAGCAUGAAAGACAGCGAGUCACUAAGAAGUGACACUUCAGAGGCAGCCACCCCUGUCAUGCAUCAGCAGCCAGACGGCUUCCCUCCUCUGGAGCCAGCAGUGGAAAGCAGCAUCGCAACCACUUCUGCCGCCAUCAAAGAGAGUGAGGGGGACAAAGAGGGCAAGGACACGGACAGCGAUAAAGAAGUGAAAUCGAUCCUCACCAAGGACAGAAGGACAGCGGACGAGGGGUACAAAGCCGUGUGGUUUAAGGAGGAUAUCGAUCCAGACACCAAGGAUGAUGUUGUGGUGAUUGAAGACCAGGUUGAAGAGACAGACAGCGAUGAAGAUAACAGUGAGGGAGAUGAGCAAAACAGUCUGCACAACGAGCCAGGUGUGUCCUUCAUUCCUAAGAGAGUUCAGCUCCCAGCAAAAGAUGCAAAUCUUAGCCCGGGCCAGGAUACAGACACGGGAGAUGUACAAGACGACAUUCUGUAAUAGGCUGGCGAAGCAAGUGUCACCAGUCUGGAAACUGUGGGUAAUCGCAAGCCACUUUUCUGGGGAAGAGUCCCACGUUCUUUGUGCUGUGAGAGACAGGCCUGCUAGCAAACAACGGUGGCCGGCAGAUUUCACAAACAUCUCUCGGUGAUCCCCUCCUGCCUUCACAAGUACAGUAAACCGAUUUUAACGCCAGACGAGACCAACAGGAUCAUUUAUGUCUGACCUUCGUUACACAGACCAUACCGCUUCUCUCAGUAAUGCCUGCACUGGGCCCAUUAACUUGGGGUUAAGCUACAGCAGCUCCUUCAGAGCGGAUAUGGAUUUAAAUCAAGUAUCUUCUCACUCCAGAUGAGAGUUCAAAGCAUAGUCCCUAAUUUCAAAGGCCAGGACAUUAGCCACUGGACCACUGGCACUACUCCCAGCUCUCGCUUUAGCCAGGGGGCUCCAAAAAUACUUCUGCCCUCUCAUUCCAAUGUUUCUGAUGGGCAAUCAGGAUAACUCGUGGGAAGUGGUCUAGCCACCUUUAAGCUUCCUUUGAAAUGUCCAAGUCGAGGUGAAUUUCCUCUGGCUCUCCCAACAAAGGAACUUCACCCCAGUUAACUAGUGAGAACGUUUCCAGGGACAACUUCAGGUUUUGCUUCAAAAUUAUGCAGAUUGUUUCGUCAAAACCUAGAGGCAAUUGCCAGAGGUAGGCUAGGAAUGUGACUCACUGUGGUUUAGUGAGUCCAAAGUGAGGUCUCCCUCCUGCAGACUUUUAGGCACGUGCUCAAGUUCAUGUGCGCAAAUAGUCCCCUGGGUCCCAUGCCUUCCCAAACGGGGAGGUGUGGCCCCGCCCACACUCUGCCCCUCAGCUUCAGCAUGGCUCCCAGACUUCCGCCCCACUGAGGCUAGGGAGGCUGGAGCAGUGUGCCUUCCCAGGGGAUGCUCCUGUGGAAGGCUGGAGGCUUGCCUCUAUGAUGGGGGAGGGAGGGGAGUUUGGCUUCUGUAGGGGGCAGGGACUCAAGCAGAAGGGGGGGGGCUAGGGGCUUUUCUCCCCUAAGCCCUACGUUCACCCAUCAUCCAGGAAUAGUCCCAAAUUCCAAUGAAGUCAGUAUGGCAAACCAAGGACUUGGGCCAUACCCAGCAUCUUCCUAAACAUAAAGACCACAAGGAAGGAUUAAACCUAUUAAUUGGCAAAGGACGUCAGCACAUGUGCUGCUGCCUGCAACUACUGUAAAAUUGCCCUUUGCUUUGGGAUCUGUAUUGGGCUUAGUUUUAUUUGCUGAUCUGACCUAGUGGUGGGGCAGAGGAGGGUAAACUCUCCCUCACCGUGCCGUUUCCCAAAUUCACAGAGCCCUUGGUACACAAAUCUCUUCAGCGGGAGUCACACUUGUGUCAAUAAAACAAGGCCUGGGCCAUGAGUUAGAAGACGACUCAUUGUUUCCUAUUUAGA